ACGGAAGGCAGCAGUGGGGAAUAUUGCACAAUGGGCGCAAGCCUGAUGCAGCAACGCCGCGUGAGGGAAGACGGUCUUCGGAUUGUAAACCUUUGUCUUUGGUGAAGAAGAAAGUGACAGUAGCCAAGGAGGAAGCCACGGCUAACUACGUGCCAGCAGCCGCGGUAAUACGUAGGUGGCAAGCGUUGUCCGGAAUUACUGGGUGUAAAGGGAGCGCAGGCGGGGCUGCAAGUUGGAUGUGAAAUACCGAGGCUUAACCACGGAGCCGCAUCCAAAACUGUAGUUCUUGAGUGAAGUAGAGGCAGGCGGAAUUCCGAGUGUAGCGGUGAAAUGCGUAGAUAUUCGGAGGAACACCAGUGGCGAAGGCGGCCUGCUGGGCGUUUACUGACGCUGAGGCUCGAAAGCGUGGGUAGCAAACAGGAUUAGAUACCCUGGUA
rnacentral:rRNA from 1 species